CACGUAGGGCGCAAGCGUUGUCCGGAAUUAUUGGGCGUAAAGAGCUCGUAGGCGGUCUGUUGCGUCCGCUGUGAAAACUCGGGGCUUAACCCCGAGCCUGCAGUGGAUACGGGCAGACUAGAGGUAGGUAGGGGAGAAUGGAAUUCCCGGUGUAGCGGUGAAAUGCGCAGAUAUCGGGAGGAACACCAAUGGCGAAGGCAGCUCGCUGGGUCAAUACUGACGCUCAUGCACGAAAGCGUGGGGAGCAAACAGG
rnacentral:rRNA from 1 species